rnacentral:rRNA from 1 species
GAUGAACGCUGGCGGCGUGCUUAAUACAUGCAAGUCGAACGAGAAACUUUUGUCUUCGGAUGGAGGUUUUCUAGUGGCGAACGGGUGAGUAACGCGUUGGUGACCUGUCCCGAAGUGGAGAAUAACAGUUCGAAAGGACUGCUAAUACUUCAUGAUAUCAAUUGGAUUAGAUACCUUUUGAUCAAAGGCGAAAGCCGCUUUGGGAGGGGCCUGCGUCCCAUCAGCUAGUUGGUAGGGUAAUGGCCUACCAAGGCAAAGACGGGUAGGGGACCUAAGAGGGUGACCCCCCACACUGGCACUGAAACACGGGCCAGACACCUACGGGUGGCAGCAGUAGGGAAUUUUGGACAAUGGGCGAAAGCCUGAUCCAGCAACGCCGCGUGCGCGAUGAAGGCCUUCGGGUUGUAAAGCUCUGUCGCAGGGGAAUAACACAAUGAAGGUACCCUGUAAGAAAGGAUCGGCUAACUUCGUGCCAGCCGCCGCAGUAACAC